rnacentral:rRNA from 1 species
CCUACGGGAGACAGCAGUGGGGGAUAUUGCACAAUGGGGGAAACCCUGAUGCAGCGACGCCGCGUGAGUGAAGAAGUAUUUCGGUAUGUAAAGCUCUAUCAGCAGGGAAGAGAAUGACGGUACCUGAGUAAGAAGCCCCGGCUAACUACGUGCCAGCAGCCGCGGUAAUACGUAGGGGGCAAGCGUUAUCCGGAUUUACUGGGUGUAAAGGGAGCGUAGACGGCGAAGAAAGUCUGAAGUGAAAGCCCGCGGCUCAACCGCGGAACUGCUUUGGAAACUUUUUUGCUGGAGUACCGGAGAGGUAAGCGGAAUUCCUAGUGUAGCGGUGUAAUGCGUAGAUAUUAGGAGGAACACCAGUGGCGAAGGCGGCUUACUGGACGGUAACUGACGUUGAGGCUCGAAAGCGUGGGGAGCAAACAGGAUUAGAUACCCCUGUAGUC